AUGGCAACACUGAACCACCCCAGCCGUUUGCCGUACCUGGAGCUCAUACUCUGGUUCGACGUGAGUGACUUGAAGCCUGUCACUGGACUGUCAAAAGGACGGCGACAGAUCGAUGUUGAUGGACUACCAACGUGCUCGAGUCGCAUGAAGAAUUAUAUUAAUUAUCAUCGAAUUAUUGGAUUAAUAGUGAACUAUUAUGUUAUUUUUGUGCAUUAUUUGCUAGUUCAGUGGGUGAAGUGCGUUAUAUAGCUGAAGGAGUUUGGGUAUGAUGCUAGAUACACCGAUAAUCGCAGUUGCAUGACUGUCUUAAUUUCUUAGGUUAACCGCUGUUAUAUUGUCCCUAUAUAUGCCGGUCGAACGGCUAACCGUUGACCUUGGACUGUAUAGAUCACGGCAAGGUAAAGCGAUAAGAAUUUAUCAAUGAAGAUGCAUAGAAUUCAAACAUUAUAAUUAUAGGAAUUAGGGCUCGAUCAGGACUCGCCAUUGAAGGCAGAGAAUUCUUAUUGGAACGGUAGAAGACCAUGUAAGCGUACUGAAAUUGCUUUUUUUGGGUUAACACUAAAACUUUAAAUACAUUUUAGCUUUGAGCUGCUGUCGAGAAACUCCGCUGCUACUUAGAUAUUCACCAAUCCGAACAUUUCUCAAAGAUGAGCGAGGAUGCCGCUACCCAUAACUGCGGAGCCUGUAGAAACCCCGAUUCUGCUGAUGCGGGCAUGGUAGCAUGUGAUGAUUGCUGCGUCUGGUUCCAUUACUCUUGCGCAGGAGUAUCGCCCGAAGUAGCCAAGCGACCGUGGAAGUGUAAAACCUGCCUUGCCCCACUCGGAACGACUCCACUCAACACCGGAGCGAGCAAGAAGAACCCUAAAACCGCCUCUGCUGGUAAAAGGGGCGAGGAUGGUAAAAGUGUUCGCAGCAAUGUAGGUGCUAAAGCAGGUAAGAACGGUGCUAGGAACGCCCCUCCGCCAAACGGUGCCGAUUUUAACCCGAAGGACCCAGCAAAGGAUGUCGGCAUAGCGAAGUCAGUGAGAACCACUUCGUCGAACGCCAGAUUACAAGCGCAGUUGACCUUACAGCGCUUGGAGGAAGAAGCCUUGCUGGAGAAACGUAAGAUGGAUGAAGAGCGAAGGCAGUUGGAAGAGGAAAGAGCCUUGAUGGAGAAGGAGCGAGCAAUUCGCAGCAGAGAAAUUGCGGCCCAAGAAAAAUACAUUCAAGCGAAAUUUGAACUAGAAACGCGCCUUGCCGAAGAAGACGGUAGUGCCCGUCUCAGUGUCGCAGCCGGCCCGGCAAAAGUUCACGAUUGGCUAAAAGCGAAUCAGAUGCAGCUUGGUGCAGGUCUAAAGGUCCCGGAGGACGAAAAGGAACCAAAGCCGGUCGAAAGCCUGAAGGUCCCAAUGCAAGACUAUGAUCUACGUUCUGAAUCAAGUCCGAAACUGUCAGUGAUCCACGAUUUCGUUCCUGAACAACGGAGCCUCGUAGGAAGAGCCGAACAUAGAGAAGAAUUGGAAGACGAUGGUCAGUGUUUUCGCCAAGCAACCCCGAGUUUCGCUGGUUCAGUUGCUAGAAGUGUACCGAGGGAGGUAGGGCCCACAGCCGAGCAGCUAUCGGCGCGACAGAUUUGGCCAAAGAAAUUACCGAGUUUUUCAGGAGACCCCGAAGAUUGGCCACUAUUCUAUAGCAGUUAUGAAACGGGAAACACUGCUUGUGGGUUUUCAAACAUCGAAAACCUGAUUCGUUUACGAGAGUGCCUUCGCGGUCCGGCACGAGAAGCGGUUUUGACAAAGCUGAUGUUUCCUCACAGUGUCCCUUCGAUUAUUGAAACACUACGCCGUUUGUAUGGAAGGCCAGAGCUACUCGUGAAAAACCUUCUACAGAAAGUGCGACGUUUGGAGACACCUAAACCGGAACGGCUUGACACUUUGAUGGCCUUCGGGAUGGCCGUUAAUCAACUGUGCGACCACCUAGAAGCGGCCAAUCUACAAGGGCAUCUGUUCAACCCAACGCUUCUCGAAGAACUGGUGGAGAAAUUACCGGCGACCGUGAAACUGGAAUGGGUUCGGUUCAAAAGGAUGUAUAGGCACCCAUCGCUUAAGGAGUUUGGCGAAUUCAUGGAGACAUUGGUAGCCGAUGCUAGUGAAGUUACCACUCUAGCUCAACCGAAGCCAGGAGCUUCUAAAUUGGACAAACUACCGCGCCGGGAGAAAGGACAAGUCUUCACCCAUGUUUCGUCGUCGGUUGAGAGCAAUACCGAAAGGCAGCCCUGUCCCAUAUGCGGCGGAACAGACCAUCGAGUUCGGAACUGUGAGAAGUUCAAGCAAAUGGACGUGGAAAGCAGGAUAAAGGCUGUAGAACGAUGGAAACUAUGUGGAGUGUGUCUCCAUGACCAUGGAAAGUGGAGAUGCCGUACGAAGAUCCGCUGUGACGUCUCCGGUUGCCAAGGACGCCACCAUCCGUUGCUGCACAGAUCGGUCACGCCGGUACAGGGAGUCACACAGGUUCAUGAGCGGUUGAACAAAUCUGUUCUCUUCAGAAUCAUACCGCUGACACUUCAUCACGGUUCUCGGAGCUACGACACGUAUGCAUUUUUGGAUGAAGGAUCCAAUAUGACACUAGUAGAGGCUGACUUGAUCCGAGAGCUAGGUAUCGAAGGUGUACCGGAACCGCUCGAACUAAAAUGGACUUCGGACAUCGGGCGAACCGAGUAUGCAUCGCGACGCGCUGAUAUUAUCGUCACGGGCAAAGGGCCGACAAAUUGCUACCGUUUGAACUCAGCCCACACUGUGGACUGCCUCAAUCUACCACGUCAGAGUCUAUCGAUCGAGGAUUUGCACGAACGUUAUCCGUAUCUACGAGAUGUUCCCGUGACGUCGUACGAGAUGGCCGUCCCUCGAGUUCUCAUUGGACUGGACAACAUCGAACUGUUUUCUCCUCUAGAAUCUCGGACAGGCGGAUCUGAUGGACCGAUAGCGGUUAGGUGCCUACUUGGAUGGACAAUCUACGGACCGGUCGCGAUCGGAUCUGUUACACCCGGCGUCGUCAGCGUACAUAGAUGUGGUUGUAAUGAGGAUAUAGAUCUGAAUGAAAUGGUUCGUAAGCAAUACGUGCUUGAAGAUGCUGGAAUUUCGCCUUUUCCGUUGCCGGAACCUACAGAGGAGAAGCGCGCCCGAGAGAUUUUGGAGCGCACUACGGUUAAAGUCAACGGGCAAUAUGAAACUGGGCUCCUAUGGAAGACGGACGAUAUAACACUGCCGGACAGCCGUCCGAUGGCCUUCUCCAGAUUGCGAAGUUUGGAGGCAAAGUUAAUGAAAGACCCCGAAUUGCGAUCGAAUGUACACAACCAAAUCAACGAGUACCUCCGUAAGGGAUACGCACAUAAGGCCACUGAAGAAGAGCUCGCUGCAAUGAAUGAACAACAGGUAUGGUUUUUGCCGCUGAAUGUGGUGACCCACCCGAGGAAGCCCGACAAGAAACGUCUAGUUUGGGAUGCUGCGGCUCGCGUGAACGGCGUUUCACUCAAUUCACAACUGUUGAAAGGGCCGGACCAACUCGUUACAUUACCCUCCGUUAUCUGCAAGUUUCGAGAACGCAGCAUUGGAUUCGGAGGGGACGUGAGGGAAAUGUUUCAUCAGCUGAAGAUGAGGCAAUCCGACAAGCGUUUCCAGCUGUUCCUCUUCAGAUUCGACACCAGUAAACCACCUGACGUGUAUAUGAUGGACGUCGCGACCUUCGGAGCAACAUGCUCCCCAUGCUCUGCAUUGUACGUCAUGAGAUUGAACGCCGAUAGCUGCAAAGAAGAGUUCCCGGCCGCAUGUGAUGCCAUAAAAGAGAAAACAUACAUGGAUGACUAUUAUGACAGCCUCAAUACGCCGGAGGAGGCUGGGAUGCGAGCCUUACAAGUGAGGGAAGUUCAUGCACGAGCCGGUUUUGAGAUGAGGAAUUGGGUGAGCAACAGUCCCAAGGUCCUCGAAAUGCUCGGAGAAACGGUGGAGAUGAAAUCGCUCCCAAUCACGGCGGAUAAGCAGACAGCUGAGAGAGUGCUAGGCAUGACCUGGGAGCCUACCGAGGAUGUCUUCCUGUUUUCAGUUGAUCUGCACGAACAUUUGAUGGAUUACGUCUUAGGGAAUCGACGUCCGACUAAAAGAACAGCGUUACGGUGCAUUAUGAGCUUCUUUGAUCCGCUCGGUCUCUUGUCACCAUACCUUAUCCAUGGAAAGGUUAUAAUGCAAGAUCUAUGGCGCGCUGGUAUUGAUUGGGAUACGGAGGUAGGAGAAAGUGAGUUCGCCAAAUGGACGGAAUGGACCAAAAUUCUUCCGAAAUUGAACAGCAUCAAAGUGCCUCGAUGCUAUUUUGAGCAAGUACGACCCGAGGACCUUUCGCAGCUGCAGCUGCACGUGUUCACAGACGCUAGUGAGCAAGCAUACGGGUGUGCAGCAUAUUUGCGAUCCGUUUCAGAGGGAAAAGUGCGGUGCAUUCUAGUCAUGGGCAAGAGCAAAGUAGCCCCGCUCAAAGCCCUAUCAAUCCCUCGAAUGGAACUGCAAGCAGCGGUUCUUGGAUCGAGGCUUUUGGACAGCAUUUGUUCCAACCACACGUUGAAGAUUACAGACCGCUAUAUGUGGACGGAUUCCAGCACUGUGCUCAGCUGGAUUCGUGCUGAUCAUCGGAAGUUCAAGCCAUACGUCGCACAUCGUGUGGGGGAGAUUCUUUCCCUUACUCAACCCGACCAAUGGCACUGGGUCGCAUCACGAAACAACGUCGCGGACUGCUUAACGAAGUGGUGCAAAGAUUCGGAGCCUGCCUCGGAUAGCAGGUGGUUCAACGGACCGAACUUCCUCUACGAUCCGGAAGAUAGUUGGCUGACCAAGGACAUCGGUCCAUCAAGAGCAGAUGAAGAGUUGAGACCAUGUUUUGUUCUGCACCACACCACCGCAUCAAGCUGUAUAAUCGAUGUGAGCCGCUUUUCCAGAUGGGAGACAAUACUUCGAACCGUAGCACUCGUCAAGCGGUUCAUCUCCAACUGCCAACGACGCCUACGGGGGCUUCCGUUAGAAGCUGUGAACGUCACUGAAAACGUACUGAAAUCUGUGAUUCGGACAACACCUGCGCUCAAAGUACCAUUACGGCAAAAGGAAUAUGUGGAUGCAGAAAAUCUGUUGUUUCGGAUCGCACAAACGGAUAGCUACCCGGAUGAGACGGAGAUACUGCUGAAUAACCGAGAUAAACCUAGUGACAAAUGGCUAAACUUGGAAAAGUCAAGCGCACUUUUCAAAUUAUCGCCGUUCGUGGAUGAAUUCGGGGUUCUGAGAGUAGAAGGGCGUACCGCUCAUGCCAUGUACGCCGCAUUCGACGCCCGUUUCCCGGUUAUAAUGCCGAAAAAACACCCGCUUACUGUACUACUUCUGAACCACUACCAUCGUCGCUACGGACAUGCAAAUAGAGAAACCGUAGUUAACCAGGUGCGCCAGCGGUUCGAGAUUUCACAUCUACGUACUACAAUCGACAAAGCGGUUAAAGGUUGUCAGUGGUGUAAAAUCAACAAAUGCAAGCCGCAACCGCCGAGAAUGGCUCCCCUACCGGAACAGCGUCUGACACCGUACAUUCGACCUUUCAGUUAUGUGGGUUUAGAUUACCUAGGUCCGCUAGAAGUUGUAGUAGGAAGGCGUAGGGAGAAAAGAUAUGUGGCAGUAUUCACUUGUCUCGUUGUCCGCGCAGUGCACCUCGAGGUUGCCCACGACUUAUCCACACCGUCCUGCAUAAUGGCAAUUCGGAGAUUCGUUCGCAGAAGAGGUUCGCCGGUGGAAAUAUUUUCCGACAACGGAACCAACUUUGUUGGCGCUAGUCGGAUAUUAGCUGACCAGAUAAGAAGCGUUAACGUCGACUUUGCAGAUACCUUUACGGACGCUAAUACCAAGUGGACUUUCAACCCACCUGGGGCACCCCACAUGGGUGGCGCCUGGGAACGCAUGGUGAGAAGCGUCAAAGAAGCCAUGCGAGCCCUUGACGACGGAAGGAAACUCGACGAUGAAAUUCUAUUGACCGUUUUAGCGGAAGUCGAAAGUUUUAUCAAUUCACGACCCCUUACGUAUAUGCCCCAGGAGUCGGGGGGUACUGAAGCAUUAACCCCAAACCAUUUCAUAUUUGGGAACUCAUCAGGCGUCCACAAUCCUUUAAGAACACCGGUGGACUUGGCCGAAGCUCUUCGUAACAGCUACAAACGAUCCCAGUAUUUGUCCGAUGCUGUAUGGGACCGCUGGUUAAAGGAAUAUUUCCCUGCAGUGAACAAAAGGUCCAAAUGGUUUUGCGAUACCAAGCCGGUCAAAGUCGGCGACUUAGUCUACGUGACGGAAGGUAAAAGGAGGACAUGGGUUCGUGGCAAGGUCGAAGAACUGAUCACCAAUAAGGACGGAAGGGUGCGUCAGGUCAUAGUGAAGACUGCUUCAGGAACCCUUAAACGACCUGUGGUGAAACUAGCAGUGAUGGAGAUUUUGAGCAAUGGUGAAUCCAGAGCUAACCAACCGGAAGCAGCACCGGAUUCACGGGGAGGGGACUGUUAUGGCAACACUGAACCACCCCAGCCGUUUGCCGUACCUGGAGCUCAUACUCUGGUUCGACGUGAGUGACUUGAAGCCUGUCACUGGACUGUCAAAAGGACGGCGACAGAUCGAUGUUGAUGGACUACCAACGCGCUCGAGUCGCAUGAAGAAUUAUAUUAAUUAUCAUCGAAUUAUUGGAUUAAUAGUGAACUAUUAUGUUAUUUUUGUGCAUUAUUUGCUAGUUCAGUGGGUGAAGUGCGUUAUAUAGCUGAAGGAGUUUGGGUUAACCGCUGUUAUAUUGUCCCUAUAUAUGCCGGUCGAACGGCUAACCGUUGACCUUGGACUGUAUAGAUCACGGCAAGGUAAAGCGAUAAGAAUUUAUCAAUGAAGAUGCAUAGAAUUCAAACAUUAUAAUUAUAGGAAUUAGGGCUCGAUCAGGACUCGCCAUUGAAGGCAGAGAAUUCUUAUUGGAACGGUAGAAGACCAUGUAAGCGUACUGAAAUUGCUUUUUUUGGGUUAACACUAAAACUUUAAAUACAUUUUAGCUUUGAGCUGCUGUCGAGAAACUCCGCUGCUACUUAGAUAUUCACCAAUCCGAA